AUUGCUGCUACAGGGCAGAGACAAUGAUGACCGACUAUCGCGAACUGAAGGAGUUUGACACAUUUUUAAACAAUUCAAAGGAGGUUCGCAGUUGUUAGACGUAGGACAUUUUACGAUUUGUAAUCUGCACUAUAACCGAAAAAAAAAUAACAAAAAACAGUAGGUACAAGUAUAAUGUAGCUGUCAAUCAUUUCGGCUACCAAAAUCAAAAUUUCCAAGUUAAAUGCGUCUUAGAAAAUCAUUGGAUCCUCACAGCGCAAUAAAAUUAAUAACCGAAGAAAACCAAAUCCUUCAGAGCCUCUUGCUAGAGGCUACCGACAAGCAGCACCAGGAGAUGUCAAGAGCCAUUGACCUCAAAGAGAAAAAUGAAUAUUUGAGGUCCAGGAUACACGACGCCAAGAUUGAAGCCUGUAAACUAAGGGAUUGCAACAGUAAAUUGCAAAAAUAUAAGCAUAACCAAUGCGGGCAGUUGGUGAAUUCAGGAUUGCCUCUCUGCGAAAAGAGAAUGAGGAACUGAAACAGCUCAUAAUACAAGCAAAAAAGAAAAGAUUAGAAGCUUCAAAGCAUGCCAAACAGUUGGCUGAGGCUAACUACUACUUAGAAAACUGUCUUUGCGAAGUGUACAACGAAAUAAACAGUCUGCAACGUGAGAAUACCAAACUAGCUAUGAAAAAACAGGAUCAUGAAAAAAGAAAAUUGUAUUCAAGGAGAGAAAAUCGUGCAACGUUUGUAUAUUAUUAGAACGCGAUACGAUUAAUAUCAUUUUUUGUUAUUGAAUGAUGUAUAAAAAAUGUAUAAGUACCAUUAGUAUUAAUAGAAUGUUGGGAUUAUAUUUUUAACUUAC